UGAUUCAAAGAAAACCACCCACUGGUUUUUUUUCACUAAUUGUGCAGGUGUUUAGGUAUCUCCUAGCCUAUCUUUAAAAAUAUUACUUAAACUUCAAAUGAAUCUGAUUCCAAAUUAUUUAAAUUUAGGUAUUUUUAAGGCAUGUAAAUUUUAUUACAAUAUACACCGACUAGCCAUAACAUUAAAACCAUGUGCAUAAUAUAAUGAUGGUACCAAAACAGCACUGAUCCAUCGAAGCAUGACCUCCACAAGACCUCUGAAGGUGUCUUAAGGAAUCUGGCACCAAGACAUAAGCAGCAGAUCCUUUAAGUCCUGUAAAUUGCAAGGUGGGGGCUCCAUGGAUUGGAUUUGUCCCUCAGACAAACCUCACCUUGAACUCUUUUUCAUGUUCCUCAAACCAUUCUUGAACACUUUUUGCAGUGUGGCAGGGUGCAUUAUCCUGCUGAAAAUGGCCACAGCCAUCUGGAACAACUGCUACCAUGAAGGAAUGGACUUGGUCUCCAACAAUGUUGAGGUAAACGACACACAUGCACCUGGCCGUCCACAGGAUGUAACAGAAAAGGCUGGUGGUUGAGAAAGUGAAAGCACAAGCAGGAGCCCUGGAUGGCAGCUUUACCAUCAUGGGACACCUCUGAGCAUAGACCACUAAGGUCCUCCCUGCCUGCUGGAGCAGGCCCUGGGGCGUCCGGGACAGGGAGGGGCAGCACCGGAUCACAGUGUCCAUCGCUGACUGCAUGUAUCUAAAAACCGCAAUGGGGAAAUGGUCACCUGGAGAUUCCCCAACCAGUGAGGAAAAAUGUAACUAAUUUUAUGGACUCCUUGACGUUCACCCAUCAGCAAUAAUAUUAUGGCAAGAUUUUUUUUUUUUAAGUAAAUAAUAUCAAAACAUAAGAAGCAAAGAAUAUCAGCCACUUUUUUCCAGUGAAGUGCACACAGCCAGCAUCCAUGAAAAGACACCCACAAAAUACGCAUCCCCAAAACGGUGGGGGGGGGGUUGGUACACAUCAUUGUGUAACUUUAAACUCCCCAUUCUUUUCUUAUAGAGCACAGAAAACACAGAAAACGCCUCUCACUCCCUCCCCCCCCAAAGGCAGCGUCAGCUGCUUGUGACACUACCGUAACUACCGCUGAACUCCACUUCAAAAGCUCUUCAGGGGGGAAAUAUGCAAAAGCUACAACAGCUUCGCCUGGAUGUAUGUAAUAUGUUAAAAAAAAAAAAAAAGACAAUCUGUUCAAGCUAGAGAUUUACUGCAUGAUUACAUCGGUGUCGUGAACAGGUGGUCACAACAAUUACAAUUUGUAACCACAUUGCCAAAACCGAAAGCUCCCCCACCCAAAAAAGAAUUAAAUUUCUAUAUACACAAGUUCCAAAGGGGCAGUCAGCUAUCACUAGAGUCCUAUUUUUUGCUCCGCAUGCGGCGUUCACACGAUAUCACCACGUUCCCGUGGGUUUCCCCUGGCAAUUGGUGCGAUUAUGGAUUGUUUAUGGAUUUGAGAAUAUAUAGUUAUUGGUAUUGCAAGUUAUUAAUUGUGCAUAGAUAUGUAUGGUGUUUAGUUCACGCUUUUUUAUCGUAGAAAAAACAGUAAUUUUCAGAUCGUUUUAAACAGCGCCGUGUAUUGGUACCAAAGACACCCACAAAAGUUUUGAUCUAAGAAGAAGCCCACAAACUUUUAAAAAUGUGCCGGUUAAGUUCGGAAGGUAUUGGUUUAUUUAUGGACUAUGACAUGCUAUAUUCAUCCAUCCACCAUCCAACUGCUUAUAAAUGCAUUAUAAAUACGUAUAUAAUACUAAAAGAUCUAAUAUGGAAAAUUUGCAAUGAAAAUUUAAUAGAAAAAUGAACAUUUUGCUUCAGUGUAACACCAGCCUGUAAUAGGCUACUUGUUACAUGUCGCCGUACGGUCAGCUCUGCACAGUCAUCCUUCGCCCCGACUCCCCGCCCCCAAACAAGCAGCGGGAACCAUCCGUCACUUCUGUUCCCCGAAAUGCUGUAAGCAGGAUACUUCGGGAGCUCUGCUCGUUUCUAUCUUUGAUCUAUUGUGUAUGACAGUUUUUGGUUAUUGGAUUUCUAGUUUUUCAGUUCGCCCCUGCCUGUACUUUCGCUGUUUGGUUUCGAUCUCUCGCCCGGUUUUUGCUUUACGUCUUCGCGCGGCCCCCGGACUUUGAGGCUUUGAUCAUUGUGUGUAUUCUGUCUGUGUGUGUCAGGUACGUAAGGAGUGAUUGCCAUUGUUGUUUUGCGAGCUUAUGUUGUAUACUGUUGUUUGGAUGGGGAGUGAGGCGUAGUAGGCUAUUUGUUGUUUUGUUAUUUAUUUCUAGAUAAGUUAGAUCUGGGUUGCGUUCGGAAGCUGGAUUUUGUUUAUUGUUUUGGCUAUAUUCACUCCUGAGUGCUUUCGCACAGGGUUUAUUUGUUCUGUGUAAAUCGUGUAAAAAAAAACAGAAAAGUAUUUAAAAAAUAUACCCCUUCGUCCACGUGUGGUCCCUUGUCCACCAUACCCGGUUAUUUCUUUACUCCACUUUCCCUUUCACUGUUACGCCCCAACCCUAGACUGGGGCUCGCAACACAAUCAAUAUCAGAAAUCAAGUCAUUCAAUAAGAAAGUUACAGAUCAAGAACAAUUAUACAUGAGCUUUGUACAUUCGACUGAUGAAUUAGUAUUUUGGUAUUCUGAAAAAAAUAUAUAGUUACCAGUCUUGUUGUAUGAAUUCCAGGCUGAAGCAGGUGAUAAACAGCUCCUUUACUGGUCGUUUGCUGAGUACCGGUGCUGAACGCUAAGUAACGGUUCAAACCUCAUCGACUGAUUUAGAACAUCUAAGCUCCACCUAACCUUUAAGCUCCACCUAAUGUCACUCAAGUAUGAGGAGCAAAUGUCCACAUAUUUGUCCGUUUAUUCACAAUUUAUUUGAAGAAACCGUACUUAAAAGCCAGAAAAAAACAGAUCACAUAUUUUGUAAUAAUAUUUUAUUUAUUUUGUGUCACUGAUUUCACCAAGACUGAGUAAGACCCUAACCCUGACAGACUGAUCCUGCUCACUGAUCCUCAAGUGUAAUAUUAAACUAAAUUAUGUAAAUUGAACUAGCAUUUGUUUUUUGAAUACAAUGAAAAUGGUUAGUAUAAUUAUGCUUCACAAUGCACAAAUUCCAUGAGCCAAUCAAAUUCAAAGGUAAACCUGAUUUGUAAGCCGGUUUAAUCAAAGAAAACCUACUGAAAACGGUUGGUUAGCCCAUGAGUGGUCUGAACUUUAAAAGGGGGAGAACUUCCCAGACGUAACUGCGUGAUUAUAUGCCAUCAUCUUCCCAUUUCAUUUCUGCUGGGAAGGGUGUUUUUCUAAAUGACAAUACUCACAUGCAGUGAACACAUACAAUUGCACAAUAGUUUGGUGAGCAUUACAGGAAUGUUAACCAUAUACCAUAUAAAUUCCGCCAACAGUCAAUGGGCUUUUAUUUUUCAACAAAAAUGACAUCAUAACACUUUUUGGAAUUCCACUUUCAUGAUGCCACAGUGCAUACAGACCAUAUUGUCUCAUAAGACUCACAAGAAUGAGUCACCCAUUUUCGACCCCUUAAAAGUAUUUUUCAUAUUAGCGUAGUAUGUGCAUUAUCAGAAAAAAAGAGUUCCAAUUUGUACCUUUGCUUGUCAGUGGGUCUGUUCCCCCGUUUAGAGUCUGCCAGUUGUACCCUGUAGGUAAAUGUACCUUGUAGUAUAAUUUAAGAUAAAGAAAUGGAAUCUGGGUAACAUUCCCAAUGUAUACAAACAACAUUAAUGUACCCGUAAUGGUACAAAAAAUGUUCCUCAAAGUCCAUUUCUGUACAAUUACCUCCAGCUAAGGGUACAGGUGGCAGACCCUUGAGGGUACAGUCCCAGUGACAGGCAAAGGUACAAGUUGCUACCCUUUUUUCUAACAGUGUGUAUCAACUUAAAAUACUGAACCCAUUAAAGGACUGAAAAGUUUCAUAUCAACAUUAAUGGCCAGAAAGAAAUGAAUGAUUAUUACACAUUUUCUGAAAGAUGACAUUCCAUAAUUUGUUGCAGAUAAUAAAUGUAUUUUUAAUAUUUUGCAAAGUCCUCUCAAAGAAAAAGAAAAAAAAAGGAUACAACCCUGAUGAAUUUUGUA